GGGGCGCCGGACCACUCCACCGCCUCGGGGACGGGGCACUCCGCGGGGCUCCCGCCGCCGAGCCCCCUCCUCUCGCUCACUGCCAUCUCUGGAGCCACCUCCUCCCCGACUCCGCCUCUGGCGCCCAAGCCCGCCCACCGAUGAGCCAAUCGCCGCACGGUGGGGCCCGGCCUUUCGGAGUUUCCAGUCCGCUAACCAAUCAGCAAUUGCCUCUCCGCAGGCCCGCCUGCUUGCGUCACCCGACGGACAGCAUCGGUUCCGAAUGGGAGAGCCGAUAACGCUUAGCCCUCCAGCUCACUCUCACCAAUCGCUAUAAAGAUUGUCCGGAUGCGAUUUAAUGAGCAGUUUAUCUAACCAAUUGUCAUGGAUCUGAUAUCCGGCCCUUGAAGCGGAAUUUCUCCACCCACUCUUAACGGUCCGGGACUACAUUACCCAGAAUGCAGCGGGAGCAGACAAGGGCCACAAAGCAUUAAAUAAACUACAUUUCCCAGUAUCCCCAAGGACGGACUUCCUCUUCUUGCCCCAGGGAUGUGGCUCCCAGCCAGAGCUGAGGCUUUUGGUAAACACACGCAUCUGUUCAGGCCUGACCUGUUUUCCUAAUCUUCCUGGUCCACAGAGAGGCCUAAAGCUGGCCUCAGGUUAAAGUUUGACCCUAGGAUGACCUAUGACCCCAGGCUGAGACCCCAGCCUUAGGCUAAGCCUUUUAUUCCAGAGUGAGGCAAUUGGAGCCCCACCCCCAGAUUCCAGGCUAGACCGGACUCCGGGCUGAACUCUGACCCCAGGUGAACUCCCUCUCUGCAAGUUGAGUCCUAACUUCAGCCUGAAACUCUGACACCCCCUCGUCCCCCACAGCACACACUGAGGCUUAAUCUCUGGUUUAGGCCACCGAUCUGGACUAGCCCUGACUCCAGAUUGGACCUGACCCCUUACCGGGUUGCUAAUCCUUCUGGUUAAGCGUCUGGCCUCUAUCCCCUAUCCCCACCGUGGUGCUGACCUGGACUGAACCCCAAUUCCAGUUUGAGUCUCUGAGCAGAGGUGAACUCAGAACUUUGCUAGGCUGAGCCCCCAUUUGAGACUAGCCACUGAACUCACUGGGUUCAAUUGCCCAACUGCAAUCAGACAUUUUCUAGCUCAGAAGCCACCAGCAGGUG
rnacentral:lncRNA from 1 species